rnacentral:lncRNA from 1 species
GUUAAGAAACAUGGCAUCCAUGGAAGAAUGAGAGAAAAUAGCUCAAAAGUGUAUAAUAUUGAUGAAGGAAAAAUAUUACAAAUAAGAAAAGUAAGUGUAAAAGAUUACAUCAAAGCUUAUAUAUAGGCAUCAAGAAACUACUAACUAAUCCUCCUAAUUACUAACUAACUAUAUCUUUAACACCCUCCCGCAAGCUAGAAGGUGUUUACAACACUUCUAGCUUGGGAUAAGCAAUACAAAAGUACAUCAAAUCCAAAGGAAAUACAAUGAGAGAUGCCGGAAAUACAUCGGCCAAAAUCAAAGCCAUAAGGCAAGACGCUUAACCAUUAAGCUGGAGCCAUAACUCAAGGCCUAUCCACUUAACAGAAGCUAACAUCAACAAGGCCAGCAAAGGGCACAAAGCUUAACCACCAAGAGUACCAAACACUCAUGAUAGAAGCAAAAAAGAGGAUGUCAAAAGGGUCCGAUGUCUACAAAGUGAAGCAUCAAUACUCAAGUUGUGCUAAAGGUAAUUAGCUCAGCUAAGGACCAACAAAUCGGGUCCGAUGUCUACAAAGUGAAGCAUCAAUACUCAAGUUGUGCUAAAGGUAAUUAGCUCAUCUAAGGACCAACAAAUCAAGGAGAAAGAUCAAGUAGCAUGGUUGAUGGCUAGAGAGUAAAGCAUCAAUACCAAUGUUGUGCUCAAGAUGAGAUAGCACAUCAAAAAACCAAAUAACCACUUGACAAAGCAAGCAAAUACAACCUGCUCAAGAGAUAGCAUAAAAGCAACAAAGCCAAUAUGGCUAAGCACCUGCCUAAAACAGGGCAACAAAGAGUAGAUUAAAGAACUCAAACUAGUCUUCAAUCUUUACAAUCAGAGACAAACUAGAAGCAAGCACAUCUUCAAACAGAGGCUCCCAAAACAACAAUGCUUAUCCAUCCAUGACAGAAGCUCAUAUGAAGUCUUAACCACCAUGGGCAGAAACUCAUAACAAAGCCAAUAAGGCUAAAAGAACAACAUCAAAUCAACAAGAGUCAAAAGAUUAAACUGCAUUCUUCACUGUUCUUCAUUGACAAUGGCAAAAUCUGAAGUUAGUAAACCAAAUCCACAUAAGGAAAAUUUAUGUGCCAAAUCCAAUUAUCCAAUGCUGAAACAUGAUUGUGGAUUUCCAAAGGAGGUUUGUUUACAAGACCACUAGCCAGAUACAAGCAAUUUUCCAAGAGAAUGGAUUCAUCCUCAACACACCACAAAACCAUAAGAAUGUGAAUCUUCCUUCAAAGGGGUAUAAACACAUCCAUCACAACAAAUUCUAUAAUUCACAAACUAGCACUCCACCAAUUUAUGAAGUGGCUCAACUUCAGUACACAAUGCAUAAGAAAGGAACCAAUGCAUGUAUUUAGCCCCAUCAACUAAACAAAAUUGAAUUGAUACCAACCACACUCAUCGUGUACAUAACAACCAUAGAGAUUCAGGUGCCAUAAACAUUUCUAAAGUAAAAGGUGUCAAAGACAAGGCAACAGUCUCUAAGCAUGUAAUGGCACUGAAAUACUCUAAGCAUGUAAUCGCAUUCCUUGAACCAUCUUGAACAAAAUUUACCCCAAAACUCUGAAACGAAUUAACAAUAAUCCCAAUUUGAAUCUCAAGCAAAAACUUCAAGAAUAAAAUUCACCAUCAAACUCAUUUAUAUGUGCUUCAUGCUCAAUUUUAACUACCAAUAAUCCAUGAGGACAAAAUCCACAGAUUAACAAUUCACCAUACAGUUCUUCCCUAGUGGAGGUGCAACUAACCUUGACACGUGAAGAACUGUUUCAGCAGAACAACCUUGCUUCAGUGCCGUUCCAUGAACUGAUGCAGAUCCAACAUAACCAUGCAGUCAACAUGUAGAACCUUCCUCUGAAGUAGAUGAAUAUAGUUGAUGAAUUCAGAGUGAAAUCCGAUACACAUCUAAAAGAUUCAAUCGAAAACGUUAUCUGCUUUAGAAUUUUGCUUCUCAAAUCAGAAACAAGAAGGUGCCAAAAUUGGAAACUCCUAAAUCAUGAAUUGCAAAGAAUCUUGAACACUAGAACCCUAGGAUUUGGGGAAAAGAUGGGAAUAAAGUUGCGAUUAAAACAAAAUCGCAAUCGAACACGGAACAAGAAUCAAAUCGAAAAGAAAUCAAGAAAUCGGAUCUAGAACAUGAAUUGGAAUCAUGAAAUUCGCAAAACGGAAUCAAAAUUGAAAUCAAGAAAACUGAAUUCGCAAACGGAAGAUGAGAAAAGUGAUUUUCUCAAAUGGAAAAUUAACAGGACUAGAGAAUUGAAUUUCUCAGGAAAAAUAGAAAAGAAAGAACGAUAGAAAAUGAAAGUUGAGAAAAAUAAAUUUUCGCGAGUUCUGCAGUGGAAAAUUUUCUUUAAAGUGGAUACCAAAUUUGCUCCGAUAUCAUGUUAAGAAACAUGGCAUUCAUGGAAGAAUGAAAGAAAAUAGCUCAAAAGUGUAUAAUAUUGAUGAAGGAAAAAUAUUACAAAUAAGAAAAGUAAGUGUAAAAAAUUACAUCAAAGCUUAU